AUGCCUCCAAACAGUUCAUGUUAAUUACUAUAAUUAUAUCCACCACAAAUAUUGUUUUAUGACUGUUACACAAAUAUUCUGCAUAUACAGUACGUACAUUUAGGCUCUUGAAAUAGGAGUCAGUAGCUGCAUCUCAAUAAUCCAUAGAACCUGUCAACGUAGGGUUAACCCAGUCUGUUAUCCUUUCAAGGUAAAUAAAAUAAACAGCAGUAAGUAUUGUUUCUUCUAGAUGCAAGGAAAAUAUAAAUAAAUA